rnacentral:tRNA from 1 species
AAGGAAGGUUCGCUCAACAAAUGAAUUCUGCUAAAUUUCAUCUACCUCGGUUGAACUCCGGGGCUAUCCUUA